rnacentral:rRNA from 1 species
CUACGGGGUGCUCCAGUGGGGAAUAUUGCACAAUGGGGGAAACCCUGAUGCAGCAACGCCGCGUGAGCGAUGAAGGUCUUCGGAUCGUAAAGCUCUGUCUUUAGGGAUGAUAAUGACAGUACCUAAGGAGGAAGCCACGGCUAACUACGUGCCAGCAGCCGCGGUAAUACGUAGGUGGCAAGCGUUAUCCGGAAUUAUUGGGCGUAAAGGGAGCGUAGGCGGAUAUUUAAGUGGGAUGUGAAAUACAUGAGCUCAACUCGUGUGCUGCAUUCCAAACUGGAUAUCUAGAGUGCAGGAGAGGAGAGUGGAAUUCCUAGUGUAGCGGUGAAAUGCGUAGAGAUUAGGAAGAACACCAGUGGCGAAGGCGACUCUCUGGACUGUAACUGACGCUGAGGCUCGAAAGCGUGGGGAGCGAACAGGAUUAGAUACCCUUGUAGUC